rnacentral:rRNA from 1 species
CCUUUUGUAGAAUGAACCGGCGAGUUACGAUCUGAUGCAAGGUUAAGCAGAAAAUGUGGAGCCGUAGCGAAAGCGAGUCUGAAUAGGGCGAAUGAGUAUUUGGUCGUAGACCCGAAACCAGGUGAUCUACCCUUGGUCAGGUUGAAGUUCAGGUAACACUGAAUGGAGGACCGAACCGACUUACGUUGAAAAGUGAGCGGAUGAACUGAGGGUAGCGGAGAAAUUCCAAUCGAACUUGGAGAUAGCUGGUUCUCUCCGAAAUAGCUUUAGGGCUAGCCUCAAGUGAUGAUUAUUGGAGGUAGAGCACUGUUUGGACGAGGGGCCCCUCUCGGGUUACCGAAUUCAGACAAACUCCGAAUGCCAAAUAAUUUAACUUGGGAGUCAGAAUGUGGGUGAUAAGGUCCAUAUUCGAAAGGGAAACAGCCCAGACCACCAGCUAAGGUCCCAAAAUAUAUGUUAAGUGGAAAAGGAUGUGGCGUUGCCCAGACAACUAGGAUGUUGGCUUAGAAGCAGCCAUCAUUUAAAGAGUGCGUAAUAGCUCACUAGUCGAGUGACACUGCGCCGAAAAUGUACCGGGGCUAAACAUAUUACCGAAGCUGUGGAUUGUCCGUAGGACAAUGGUAGGAGAGCGUUCUAAGGGCGUUGAAGCAUGAUCGCAAGGACAUGUGGAGCGCUUAGAAGUGAGAAUGCCGGUGUGAGUAGCGAAAGACGGGUGAGAAUCCCGUCCACCGAUUGACUAAGGUUUCCAGAGGAAGGCUCGUCCGCUCUGGGUUAGUCGGGUCCUAAGCUGAGGCCGACAGGCGUAGGCGAUGGAUAACAGGUUGAUAUUCCUGUACCACCUAAAUUCGUUUUAAGCGAUGGGGGGACGCAGUAGGAUAGGCGAAGCGUGCUGUUGGAGUGCACGUCUAAGCAGUGAGAUUGAGUGUUAGGCAAAUCCGGCACUCGUAAAGAUUGAGCUGUGAUGGGGAGAAGAAAUUCGUUUCUUCGAGUCGUUGAUUUCACACUGCCGAGAAAAGCCUCUAGCUAGAAAAUAGGUGCCCGUACCGCAAACCGACACAGGUAGUCAAGAUGAGAAUUCUAAGGUGAGCGAGCGAACUCUCGUUAAGGAACUCGGCAAAAUGACCCCGUAACUUCGGGAGAAGGGGUGCUCUUUAGGGUUCACGCUCUGAAGAGCCGCAGUGAAUAGGCCCAAGCGACUGUUUAUCAAAAACACAGGUCUCUGCUAAACCGUAAGGUGACGUAUAGGGGCUGACGCCUGCCCGGUGCUGGAAGGUUAAGAGGAGUGGUUAGCUUCUGCGAAGCUACGAAUCGAAGCCCCAGUAAACGGCGGCCGUAACUAUAACGGUCCUAAGGUAGCGAAAUUCCUUGUCGGGUAAGUUCCGACCCGCACGAAAGGCGUAACGAUUUGGGCACUGUCUCAACGAGAGACUCGGUGAAAUCAUAGUACCGGUGAAGAUGCCGGUUACCCGCGACAGGACGGAAAGACCCCGUGGAGCUUUACUGUAGCCUGAUAUUGAAAUUCGGUACAGUUUGUACAGGAUAGGUAGGAGCCUUAGAAGCGUGAGCGCUAGCUUACGUGGAGGCAUUGGUGGGAUACUACCCUAAUUGUAUUGGAUUUCUAACCCGCAGCACUUAUCGUGCUGGGAGACAGUGUCAGGCGGGCAGUUUGACUGGGGCGGUCGCCUCCUAAAGAGUAACGGAGGCGCUCAAAGGUUCCCUCAGAAUGGUUGGAAAUCAUUCAUAGAGUGUAAAGGCAUAAGGGAGCUUGACUGCGAGACCUACAAGUCGAGCAGGGUCGAAAGACGGACUUAGUGAUCCGGUGGUUCCGCAUGGAAGGGCCAUCGCUCAACGGAUAAAAGCUACCCCGGGGAUAACAGGCUUAUCUCCCCCAAGAGUUCACAUCGACGGGGAGGUUUGGCACCUCGAUGUCGGCUCAUCGCAUCCUGGGGCUGUAGUCGGUCCCAAGGGUUGGGCUGUUCGCCCAUUAAAGCGGUACGCGAGCUGGGUUCAGAACGUCGUGAGACAGUUCGGUCCCUAUCCGUCGUGGGCGUAGGAAAUUUGAGAGGCGCUGUCCUUAGUACGAGAGGACCGGGAUGGACAUACCUCUGGUGUACCAGUUGUCGCGCCAGCGGCAUAGCUGGGUAGCUAUGUAUGGACGGGAUAAGUGCUGAAAGCAUCUAAGCAUGAAGCCCCCCUCGAGAUGAGAUUUCCCAACUUCGGUUAUAAGAUCCCUCAAAGAUGAUGAGGUUAAUAGGUUCGAGGUGGAAGCGUAGUGAUACGUGGAGCUGACGAAUACUAAUCGAUCGAAGACUUAAUCAA